CCUACGGGUGGCAGCAGUGAGGAAUAUUGGUCAAUGGGCGAGAGCCUGAACCAGCCAAGUCGCGUGAAGGAUGAAGGAUCUAUGGUUUGUAAACUUCUUUUAUAUGGGAAUAAAGUGAGGAACGUGUUCCUUUUUGUAUGUACCAUAUGAAUAAGCAUCGGCUAACUCCGUGCCAGCAGCCGCGGUAAUACGGAGGAUGCGAGCGUUAUCCGGAUUUAUUGGGUUUAAAGGGUGCGCAGGCGGAGGCACAAGUCAGCGGUAAAAUCGCGGGGCUCAACCCCGCUCCGCCGUUGAAACUGUGUGCCUUGAGUGCGCGAAGGGUAGGCGGAAUGCGUGGUGUAGCGGUGAAAUGCAUAGAUAUCACGCAGAACUCCGAUCGCGAAGGCAGCAUACCGGCGCGCAACUGACGCUCAUGCACGAAAGCGUGGGUAUCGAACAGGAUUAGAUACCCCGGUAGUC
rnacentral:rRNA from 1 species